rnacentral:rRNA from 1 species
GACAAACGCUGGCGGCGUGCUUAACACAAGCAAGUCUAACGAUGAAGCCGGAGCUUGCUCCGGUGGAUUAGUGGCGAACGGGUGAGUAACACGUGAGCACUCUGCCCUUGACUCUGGGAUAACUGCGGGAAACUGUAGCUAAUACCGGAUACGACACCUUGGGGCAUCCCAGGGUGUGGAAAGAAUUUCGGUCAAGGAUGAGCUCGCGGCCUAUCAGCUAGUUGGUGAGGUAAUGGCUCACCAAGGCGACGACGGGUAGCCGGCCUGAGAGGGUAACCGGCCACAAUGGAACUGAGACACGGUCCAGACUCCUAUGGGAGGCAGCAGUGGGCAAUAUUGCACAAUGGGCGAAAGCCUGAUGCAUCAACGCCGCGUGAGGGAUGAAGGCCUUCGGUUUGUAAACCUCUUUUAGCAGGGAAGAAGCGAAAGUGACGGUACCUGCAGAAAAAGCACCGGCUAACUACGUGCCAGCCGCCGCCGUAA